GGAGCCUGAGAAACGGCUACCACAUCCAAGGAUGGCAGCAGGCGCGCAAAUUACCCAAUCCCGACACGGGGAGGUAGUGACAAUAAAUAACAAUACGGGGUUCUUUNNGAUCUCGUAAUUGGAAUGAGUACAAUUUAAAUCUCUUAACGAGGAACAAUUGGAGGGCAAGUCUGGUGCCAGCAGCCGCGGUAAUUCCAGCUCCAAUAGCGUAUAUUAAAGUUGUUGCAGUUAAAAAGCUCGUAGUUGAAUUUCGGGGUUAGUAGGUUGGUCAUGCCUCUGGUAUGUACUGGUCUCACUGAUUCCUCCUUCCUUAUGAACCGUAAUGCCAUUAAUUUGGUGUUGCGGGGAAUUUGGACUGUUACUUUGAAAAAAUUAGAGUGUUUAAAGCAAGCUAACGCUUGAAUACAUUAGCAUGGAAUAAUGAAAUAGGACGUUCGAUCUUAUUUUGUUGGUUUCUAGGAUUGACGUAAUGAUUAAUAGGGAUAGUUGGGGGCAUUAGUAUUCAAUUGUCAGAGGUGAAAUUCUUGGAUUUAUUGAAGACUAACUACUGCGAAAGCAUUUGCCAAGGAUGUUUUCAUUAAUCAAGAACGAAAGUUAGGGGAUCGAAGACGAUCAGAUACCGUCGUAGUCUUAACCAUAAACUAUGCCGACUAGGGAUCGGAUGAUGUUAAUUUUUUAAUGACUCAUUCGGCGCCUUACGGGAAACC
rnacentral:rRNA from 1 species